rnacentral:lncRNA from 1 species
UAUUGGAAAAGAGUGAAGUCAUUCAUCCAACAUUAAACAAUAAAAGUCAACUGCAUAUUAAUAUAAUGAUGUGAUAGGUAAUAAUAUGCAAUGACUUAAAGAGUGUUUAUUGGAAUGAAUGCUCCCUAACAACUGGCCAGUAUCAAACAGCUUUUUAGUAACAGGAAGUAAGUUUCAUCAUGAAGGGUAAGAAUUUAUUAACCAGCGCAGAGAACAAAGUGAGCGCUCCUGGGCAUCACCUCCUCCUCCAAACGUAACUUCCUUAAAACAGAGCAGUUCCACACCUCCCACUGCGACGUGCUACAGUCCUUCACCAUCUACAAAUACCAUCCCUCGCCCGCCUCAGCGGGACAUUUCCAUCGACUCCUCUGCCGCAUCUCUCGCCUCCUCUCAUCGCGCCACCAUGAAGAUACUGGUUGUAGGACUUUCCACACUGCUGCUGCUGGCAUUAGCGCAGACUCAAAACAACGAUACAGCGUCAACCCAGACCAACAGCACAGCCUCAACCCAGACCACGGACUUGUUUCUAGAUGUUAACUCGCAGACAGACCUUCCCAACACCACUGCCACUAAUGCAUCCGAUUUCUGGAACAACACCACAACUGGUGCUCUGGCAACCGCAGGGAUGUCCACCACCGGCUCAGCCGCUACUGCAACCUUGGCACCGACCACAAACUCAAAUACGACCUCGGCACCGGCCGCAAACGUAACUAUGAACUCAGUACCAAUCGUAGCCACAAGUACGACCUCGGCACCGACCACAGCCACAAAUAUUACUUCUGCCCCGAACACGACCACAAAUACGACCUCGGCCCCGAACACGACCACAAAUACGACCUCGGCCCCGAACACGACCACAAAUACGACCUCGGCCCCUAACACGACCACAAAUACGACCUCGGCCCCGAACACGACCACAAAUACGACCUCGGCCCCGAACACGACCACAAAUACGACCUCGGCCCCGAACACGACCAUAACUAUGACCUCGGCACCGACCACAACCACAACGACGACCACCACUACAACCACAACCUCUGCACCAACUACAACUAAAGCUACUACAACAACCACGACCCCAACCACAACCACAACCACAACCACGACCACGACCCCAACCACGAGCAAACCGGCUGCACCAAACACAACUGCCGGCUCGGCACCGACCACCACCAAAACCCUGACAACUCCGACAUCCGCUAACAUCCCUCCCUCGGCCGUGGCAACGACUACUGCACGCACCACCAGGCCAAACUGUGGCUCUCAGCUCAACGCGUCUCUGCUGAUGUCCGUCCUGCUGUGGUUUCUCUGCACCCUGUUGACCUGA